AGACCCGAAACCCGGUGAUCUAGCCAUGGGCAGGUUGAAGGUUGGGUAACACUAACUGGAGGACCGAACCGACUAAUGUUGAAAAAUUAGCGGAUGACCUGUGGCUGGGGGUGAAAGGCCAAUCAAACCGGGAGAUAGCUGGUUCUCCCCGAAAGCUAUUUAGGUAGCGCCUCGUGAAUUCAUCUCCGGGGGUAGAGCACUGUUUCGGCUAGGGGGCCAUCCCGGCUUACCAACCCGAUGCAAACUGCGAAUACCGGAGAAUGUUAUCACGGGAGACACACGGCGGGUGCUAACGUCCGUCGUGAAGAGGGAAACAACCCAGACCGCCAGCUAAGGUCCCAAAGUCAUGGUUAAGUGGGAAACGAUGUGGGAAGGCCCAGACAGCCAGGAUGUUGGCUUAGAAGCAGCCAUCAUUUAAAGAAAGCGUAAUAGCUCACUGGUCGAGUCGGCCUGCGCGGAAGAUGUAACGGGGCUAAACCAUGCACCGAAGCUGCGGCAGCGAACGUAUCACUUAAAGCGAUUCAGCGGGUUACGAUUGACGGAGCGAAGCGACGUCAAAGCGUAUACAAAGUCGAGUCGGUUUAAGGAUACGUUCGUUGGGUAGGGGAGCGUUCUGUAAGCCUGCGAAGGUGGCCUGUGAGGGUUGCUGGAGGUAUCAGAAGUGCGAAUGCUGACAUAAGUAACGAUAAAGCGGGUGAAAAGCCCGCUCGCCGGAAGACCAAGGGUUCCUGUCCAACGUUAAUCGGGGCAGGGUGAGUCGACCCCUAAGGCGAGGCCGAAAGGCGUAGUCGAUGGGAAACGGGUUAAUAUUCCCGUACUUGGUGUUACUGCGAAGGGGGGACGGAGAAGGCUAUGUUGGCCGGGCGACGGUUGUCCCGGUUUAAGCGUGUAGGUGUGUGUUCCAGGUAAAUCCGGUUCACUUUAACACUGAGGCGUGACGACGAGGCACUACGGUGCUGAAGCAACAAAUGCCCUGCUUCCAGGAAAAGCCUCUAAGCAUCAGGUAACAUCAAAUCGUACCCCAAACCGACACAGGUGGUCAGGUAGAGAAUACCAAGGCGCUUGAGAGAACUCGGGUGAAGGAACUAGGCAAAAUGGUGCCGUAACUUCGGGAGAAGGCACGCUGACACGUAGGUGAAGUGAUUUACUCACGGAGCUGAAGUCAGUCGAA
rnacentral:rRNA from 1 species